UUACGGCCAUAUCGAGUUGAAAAACCGCUUCUGGUACGAUUGCCGAAGUUAAGUCACGUCGUGCCUGGUCAGUACCUAGAUAAGUGACCGUUUAGGAAUAUCAGGUGCUGUAAG